rnacentral:siRNA from 1 species
UCCAGUUUCACCCUCAAUUGGA